rnacentral:pre_miRNA from 1 species
ACCAGCCUGGAGUCUUGUUAAAAUGCAGAUUCUGAUUCUGUAGGGCUAGGUAGAGUCUCAGAUUCUGUAUUUCUAACAAGCUCCCAGGUGAUGUUCA